AAUGAACGCUGGCGGCAGGCCUAACACAUGCAAGUCGAACGAGUGGCGGACGGGUGUGUAACGUCGGGGAAAUUGCCCGAUGGCGGGGGACAACUACUGGAAACGGUAGCUAAUACCGAAUAUCAUUGGCUGUGCUCAGAUGGCAUUAGCUAGUAGGUGGGGUAAAGGCUCACCUAGGCGACGAUCCCUAGCUGGUCUGAGAGGAUGACCGGCAACACUGGAACUGAGACACGGUCCAGACUCCUACGGGAGGCAGCAGUGGGGAAUAUUGCUCAAUGGGCGAAAGCCUGACGCAGCCAUGCCGCGUGUAUGAGGAAGGCCUGCGGAGUGUAAAGUACUUUCAUCGGGGAGGCGUUACCCACAGAGAAAGCACCGGCUAACUCCGUGCCAGCAGCCGCGGUAAUAC
rnacentral:rRNA from 1 species